rnacentral:lncRNA from 1 species
UAACUCUGCAAGUGGAGAGAACGGGGUUUAUAACUACCGGCUUGUAAGUAGAAAAACCGCAAAGAUAGGACUUACGACUGCUGGUUAGUAGGCAGAGGGCCAAAAUCUGGUGGGGAUAACCACAAAAUUAGGGUUUACAUCUACCGAAUACGGGGUAGAAGACCAAAACUCCGCGUGGGGAUAGAAUAAAUCACAAAUCCGCACGGGAAACCAAG